AUAGGUUUUUGCUCAUGCACCAUGGUUGUCUGAGCAUGCAGCAUGCUUGUCUGCUCAUACCCCAUGGUUCCUGAGCAGGAACCGUC
rfam:TPA: Bos taurus chromosome X, whole genome shotgun sequence.